rnacentral:misc_RNA from 1 species
GAUGAAGAACGUAGCGAAAUGCGAUAAGUAAUGUGAAUUGCAGAAUUCAGUGAAUCAUCGAAUCUUUGAACGCACAUUGCGCCCGCUAGUAUUCUGGCGGGCAUGCCUGUCCGAGCGUCAUUUCAACCCUCAAGCCCCCGGGCUUGGUGUUGGGGAUCGGCGAGCCUCCGCGCCCGCCGUCCCCUAAAUCUAGUGGCGGUCUCGCUGUAGCUUCCUCUGCGUAGUAGCACACCUCGCACUGGGAAACAGCGCGGCCACGCCGUUAAACCCCCAACUUCUGAACGUUUGACCUCGGAUCAGGUAGGAAUACCCGCUGAACUUAAGCAUAUCAAUAAGCCGAGGA